AACGCUGGCGGCGUGCCUAAUACAUGCAAGUCGAACGGUCUUUCUAUGGAAGCUUGCUUCCACUGAGAAGAUAGCGGCGAACGGGUGAGUAACACGUGGGUAACCUGCCCAUAAGAGGGGGAUAACAUCCGGAAACGGGUGCUAAUACCGCAUAGUUUUCUUGAUUGCAUGAUUGAGAAGGAAAGACGGCCUUUGUGCUGUCGCUUAUGGAUGGACCCGCGGCGUAUUAGUUAGUUGGUGAGGUAACGGCUCACCAAGACGAUGAUACGUAGCCGACCUGAGGGGUGAUCGGCCACAUUGGGACUGAGACACGGCCCAAACUCCUACGGGAGGCAGCAGUAGGGAAUCUUCCGCAAUGGACGAAAGUCUGACGGAGCAACGCCGCGUGAGUGAAAGGAGGUUUUCGGAUCGUAAAACUCUGUUGUCAGAGAAGAACAAGUUGGAGAGUAACUGCUCCAGCCUUGACGGUAUCUGACCAGAAAGCCACGGCUAACUACGUGCCAGCCGCCGC
rnacentral:rRNA from 1 species